rnacentral:rRNA from 1 species
AGUGAACGCUGGCGGCAGGCCUAACACAUGCAAGUCGAGCGGUCGACGGGAGCUUGCUCCCUGAUUCAGCGGCGGACGGGUGAGUAAUGCCUAGGAAUCUGCCUAUUAGUGGGGGACAACGUUUCGAAAGGAACGCUAAUACCGCAUACGUCCUACGGGAGAAAGCAGGGGACCUUCGGGCCUUGCGCUAAUAGAUGAGCCUAGGUCGGAUUAGCUUGUUGGUGAGGUAAUGGCUCACCAAGGCGACGAUCCGUAACUGGUCUGAGAGGAUGGUCAGUCACACUGGAACUGAGACACGGUCCAGACUCCUACGGGAGGCAGCAGUGGGGAAUAUUGGACAAUGGGCGAAAGCCUGAUCCAGCCAUGCCGCGUGUGUGAAGAAGGUCUUCGGAUUGUCAAGCACUUUAAGUUGGGAGGAAGGGUUGUAGAUUAAUACUCUGCAAUUUUGACGUUACCGACAGAAUAAGCACCGGCUAACUCUGUGCCAGCCGCCGCGGUAAGAC